rnacentral:rRNA from 1 species
UACGUAGGGUGCAAGCGUUGUCCGGAAUUAUUGGGCGUAAAGAGCUCGUAGGCGGUCUGUCGCGUCUGCUGUGAAAACCUGGGGCUUAACCCCGGGCCUGCAGUGGGCACGGGCAGACUAGAGUGCGGUAGGGGAGACUGGAAUUCCUGGUGUAGCGGUGAAAUGCGCAGAUAUCAGGAGGAACACCGGUGGCGAAGGCGGGUCUCUGGGCCGUAACUGACGCUGAGGAGCGAAAGCAUGGGGAGCGAACAGG